rnacentral:sRNA from 1 species
UCUUUUACGGCAUCCACCUGGAGGCUGCCUGCAGGCUUGGGUUGCUAAGUGCACUGCUUAAUUUAGAAGCGCCUUUUAUCCUGGCUCUCUCGACCAGUCAAAGUUGUGGUUGCUGUUUUCAACAAGGACUGGGGAAAGAAAGGGUGGAAUUAAUUAAACCUAGAGGAAGGGACUUUGAAGGGCGGAGCUAAGGUCAAAGAAAGAACCCUUUAAAUAAAGGGCCCACACUGGCUGCCAGUGAGUGCGCAGGACUGGCAAGAGGGAAGCCGGGCUGCUCUACGCCUUUCACGCCUUCCAACUCCUGCGUGUCCAUCCGUGAGAAGGAGCCAGAGACCAAGCGAGAUGAUGGAGCCUGAGGAGUACAGAGAGAGAGGGAGAGAGAUGGUGGAUUACAUCUGCCAGUACCUGAGCACUGUGCGGGAGAGACGUGUGACGCCAGACGUGCAGCCUGGCUACCUGCGAGCCCAGCUGCCUGAGAGUGCUCCUGAGGACCCCGACAGCUGGGACAGCAUCUUUGGGGACAUUGAACGAAUCAUCAUGCCUGGGGUGGUACAUUGGCAGAGCCCCCAUAUGCACGCCUACUACCCAGCCCUCACCUCUUGGCCCUCCCUGCUAGGAGACAUGCUGGCUGAUGCCAUCAACUGCUUGGGAUUCACCUGGGCAUCCAGCCCUGCGUGUACAGAGCUGGAGAUGAACGUCAUGGACUGGUUGGCAAAAAUGCUGGGACUUCCAGAGCACUUCUUGCACCACCACCCCAGCAGCCAGGGCGGAGGCGUCCUGCAGAGCACGGUCAGUGAAUCCACUUUGAUUGCCCUGCUGGCAGCAAGGAAGAACAAAAUCCUGGAAAUGAAAACGUCUGAGCCCGAUGCUGAUGAGUCCUGCUUGAAUGCCCGACUCGUGGCCUAUGCCUCUGACCAGGCUCACUCCUCUGUGGAAAAGGCUGGUUUGAUUUCCCUUGUGAAGAUGAAAUUUCUGCCUGUGGAUGACAACUUCUCACUCCGAGGGGAAGCUCUUCAGAAGGCCAUCGAGGAAGACAAGCAGCGGGGCUUGGUGCCUGUCUUUGUAAGUCAGGAUAUGUGCCUAAGCUUAGAAUGAUAGAACUUGGAUGUGAGGAAGGAAUUUUGACAGAAUUCAGGUAAGUAACAUGCUGCACACAAAAGCAGAAAGGUCCUCCCGUACAGUAUUUUACACAUCAUGAGGUGCUAUCCAUAGGUGUGUUAUGGAAUAAAUUUUGUGGGUCAUAACCGGCAUUAAAAAGAAAUAUAGUAUAAAAUAUUAGAGUGCACACAUAUAGCCAGAGUAUGUAUUGUUUUAUGAAACUUUUUUUUCAAAUACACGCAUACACAUGUACUAGAUUGUUAUAAAAAAAUGUGUUUCUUACGAGCCAUGGUAAAACACAGUCUGAAAUAUACACUGUUCUGGUGGGAUGGAUGGGAGUAGAUCACAUCUGUGGUGAAAUCUUUCUCA